CACACACACACAGAACAAAAAAGGGACAUGUACGAGGUCAUUACAUUCUUUUACAUGUCCGGCAUUAAUCUGAGCUUCUGUCUCGUGGCAUCCUGCACCGUGAUGUUCUGCAGACAGCCUGCGUCCAUACUUACACACAGCAGACACAUCUCUCUUUCUGACACGAUCAAUCUUCUCACAACAUUUAGAGUUACAUUUAAAUCUUUCUGUGUCCGUCCCCCAGACUAGCAGCACUGGGGUCUCCCUGUCUGUUCAACAGGGUUGCCAGUGCUGCAGGUGGGCUGGGAGGACAGGUGGACUGUUCUC